rnacentral:lncRNA from 1 species
AAAAUGUAAGGAACUAACUAAGAAAAGACGAGUGAAUUCGAAGUAAAAAUAUAUAUAAAUAUGAUCCGAUCAAUAAGUAGGGAUCGUUUUGGACCAGGGAUUAGGAGGGCAUGCUAAUAACCUCUAAACUGACUCAAAAACAUAAAACUAAACUUAAAAACACUUAACAAGACUCACAAGACUCAAAGUAAACUUAAAAUACUCAAAACAGCUUAAAACAACUAAAUAAACUUAAAAUAGACACUAGGAAUGACUUUGGACGAAAAUUGACUUUUACUUGAAUCAAAACACUUAAAAACACAAACUAAAAUAGAUUUGAAACACUUUGAAACAAGAAACUAAAAGGGGGGGUUUUGAUUUGGAUGAAGUUGAAACAAACAAACAAGUAUGAAAACCUAGACAGAUUGUAAAAUAAAUUUGAGAAAUAAGAUGAUGGAUGGGAUAGCUAGAGGCUUUUUCUCCACACAUGACAUGUAUGCAAACAACUCGAUUUCCAGUUACUACUUCAUUGAAUUAUGAACGACAAUGCCCCGAAUUAACUGUGACAUCACUAGUUAACCCUCAGAUUUUCCUUGUUUUAUUGGAUUGGAUGACAUCAUUCGACAACCCAAAACAUUCUUCAAAAGUUCCUUACAUGACAUCAUAAUAGAGAUACAAUCAAAGAUCAUUACGUUUAAUGAAAAUCACAAACAUUGACAAAGCACUUGCAACUAUGACAUCAUGUCACUCAUACUAGAAUUAAACUUAACGCGAUUGUUUAUAAGCGACCUCCACUACUUAUGAAUAUAAGUUUGUAACGAUUAUGUGAAACUUUCUUAUAUUCUAGCAUCAGAUUUAUGCAUGCCAAUUAAGUGUCGACCCUUAAUCAACAAAUACAAAUAAGUUAUCAAUCAAAUACUUAAGCCAAUUGCAUUCACGAUUCAAGAGUUCAUAACUGGAAUUUAUCAAAUCAUAUUACACACAUAAUCAUGGCUUUGAAAUCACCCCCAGCUAAGAGAGGUUUAGCCACUCACGUUCACAACAAAACGAAAGGAAAUGAAUUUAAACAUUGGAAACAAAAGAAAGAAAACACCUAAACGCUCCAACGAUCCAAGUUGGGCAGCAAGCAUGUCCAAGCACUUUCCUUCCCUUCCUUCGCUACGGCACAAGGUGUUGGUGAGUGUUUGAAGGUUUGUUUGUAUGGAGGAAUGGGUGUGAAGAUGAAUGGAUGUGUUUGGAUGAAGGUUGUAUUGAAAUGGGGAUGAGUGAUCAAGCAAAAACUAACUUUAUGGCUGCCACACACAGUUCCUUUUAUAGAGGAAGUGCACGGCAAUGAGGGGAAAUUGGUGGUGUGUGCAAUGAUUCAAGGGUGAAAAUGAAGUAAUGAUGCAAAACAUGGGGGGUAAAAUGGAGUGGUGUUGCAGCAAUGAGUGCAUGGAGUGGUGUUUGAAAUGAUUCAAAGGUGAAAGUGAAGUGAUGAUGCAAAGCAUAGGGGGUAAAAUGGAGUGGUGUUGCAGCUAUGAAUGCAAGUAGGGAACAUGAAUGAUUGUGCACAUGGUAGACAAAGGAAAGGUGAAAGGUUGCUGCAACAAUGAAUGGAGUGCAAGGCAAAGAAGCUGUCCACGUGCCUCCAAACUUGAUUUUCUGCACUCUUUACCUUGUGUUCCAGCUCACUUCCACAUGUACUAGCUGUUAGACAACUUUCACACACAUGUUUUUCAUAAUUUCAUCUUGCAAACACCAACUUUUGGCUACUUUACACCUCUUUACACAUGCACCUACUGCUAGACACUUUCACACACAUGUUAUGCAUCAUUUUAGCUUGCAAUUAUGUUUGUAGUUGCUACAAAUGUGAAUACAACUUGUAAAACAAUCCAACAAAUGGCAUCUUUCACUUCUUUUCCUUUCAAAUUGUUCCUUAAGUGUAUGUAUCUGCACGCUUCCACACUUCAACUUCAUUAUUCCGAUUUUUGCAUAUGUUGAAACCCUUUUUAAAACACCAAAAACGACCAUCCAACUUGCUCCAUAUGCAUGGAAUCCAUUUCAGCCCAAAAUUGCUCCAAAAUGCACCAAAAUGCACUUUCUUGCCAACUUUGUUAUUAGGACCUACAAACACACGAAAAUAGCUUAAAAUACAUAAUUGACUAUGAAAUAACAACAUAAAUGCACAAGAACAAGCUAACUAAGUCGCAUAAAUAUGCUCCUAUCAAAUUCUCCCACACUUAGCUUUUACUAGUCCUCAAGCAAAACAAAACAAACGAAACAAACAAAACACAACCUAGACCUUCCAACAUUUGCCUCAGGGAUUUUUAAUGAAACAUGACAUGUUAAAAAUCAUCAUUCCCACAUAUUUUGGUCAUCUUCACACUUGAGCACAUACUUAAUCACAUUCACCACUUACUAGUUCACAAUUAACCAAUUAAAAUGAUGUUUUGAAUGUAGUAACAUGCCUUAGAGAAUUUGUUCAAUUCCUUACAAGAUACUCUCUAUUUUCACACACAUUUUCUGACUACACACCCUACACUAGUUAUAUGUGAGAAGAUUGAUGUAAACACGAAAGACUAGGACUCACAUAUGUUAUAACAAAGAAAGCAAUUUUCUGGAGUUAUUAAGCAUGUUUAGAUAUGAUCACAUGAAUGGAAUGCUACUACUUAGAUGCGAGAACCAGUGACACCAUAUGCUCAUACCAAUUUCGAACUCCACAAAUUGAAACACACAACACUCAAGAUUGAAGUCAAGGGUUGUAACAGGGCUUGGGGGUACUGGCUAACAAAGAAAGGAUAGUGAUAACAAACGUUCUUAAAGCGAUAGCAAGCAAAGCAAUGAAAUAGACACUUGGAAUUCACUUUAGAAUGCAGAAUCAACUUUUAAAUACAAAGGGAAGAUUCAUGCAACACUUAGGGCCGAAUUCAAUGUUUUGGACCCUUUCUUUAACAAACAACACUUUAGAGCUCUUUUUCAUACUCUUUUCAAUUCUUUUUUUCUUUUCUCUCUUUUUUUUUCUUUUCUACCUGAUAGGAGCAUUUUUAUGCGACUUAAUUGGCUUGUUCUCAUGCAUUUAUGUUAUUUUUCCUUAGUUA